rnacentral:rRNA from 1 species
AACGAACGCUGGCGGCAGGCUUAACACAUGCAAGUCGAGCGCACCGCAAGGUGAGCGGCCGACGGGUGAGUAACGCGUGGGAAUCUACCCAACCCUACGGAAUAACCCAGGGAAACUUGGACUAAUACCGUAUACGCCCUUUUGGGGAAAGAUUUAUCGGGGAUGGAUGAGCCCGCGUUGGAUUAGCUAGUUGGUGGGGUAAAGGCCUACCAAGGCGACGAUCCAUAGCUGGUCUGAGAGGAUGAUCAGCCACAUUGGGACUGAGACACGGCCCAAACUCCUACGGGAGGCAGCAGUGGGGAAUAUUGGACAAUGGGCGCAAGCCUGAUCCAGCCAUGCCGCGUGAGUGAUGAAGGCCUUAGGGUUGUAAAGCUCUUUCAGUAGGGAAGAUAAUGACGGUACCUACAGAAGAAGCCCCGGCUAACUUCGUG